CCUACGGGUGGCAGCAGUGGGGAAUAUUGGACAAUGGGGGGAACCCUGAUCCAGCCAUGCCGCGUGUGUGAAGAAGGCCCUCGGGUUGUAAAGCACUUUCAGUGAGGAAGAACGCCUGGUGGUUAAUACCCAUCAGGAAAGACAUCACUCACAGAAGAAGCACCGGCUAACUCCGUGCCAGCAGCCGCGGUAAUACGGAGGGUGCGAGCGUUAAUCGGAAUUACUGGGCGUAAAGCGCGCGUAGGUGGCUUGAUAAGCCGGUUGUGAAAGCCCCGGGCUCAACCUGGGAACGGCAUCCGGAACUGUCAAGCUAGAGUGCAGGAGAGGAAGGUAGAAUUCCCGGUGUAGCGGUGAAAUGCGUAGGGAUCGGGAGGAAUACCAGUGGCGAAGGCGGCCUUCUGGACUGACACUGACACUGAGGUGCGAAAGCGUGGGUAGCAAACAGGAUUAGAUACCCUAGUAGUC
rnacentral:rRNA from 1 species